AAUGAACGCUGGCGGCAGGCCUAACACAUGCAAGUCGAGCGAAGCCUUCGGGCUUAGCGGCGGACGGGUGAGUAACGCGUGGGAACGCGCCCUUUGGUACGGAAUAGCCCCGGGAAACUGGGAGCAAUAUCGUAUGUGGACGAGAGACGUAAGAGUUAUCGCCAAAGGAUCGGCGCGCGUUGGAUUAGGAAGUUGGUGGGGUAAUGGCCUACCAGGCCGACGAUCCAUAGCUGGUUUGGGAGGAUGAUCAGCCCCACUGGGACUGAGACACGGCCCAGACUCCUACGGGAGGCAGCAGUGGGGAAUCUUAGGCAAUGGGGGAAACCCUGAUCUAGCCAUGCCGCGUGAUCGAUGAAGGCCUUAGGGUUGUAAAGAUCUUUCAGUGGGGAAGAUAAUGACUGUACCCACAGAAGAAGCCCCGGCUAACUCCGUGCCAGCAGCCGCCGUAAGAC
rnacentral:rRNA from 1 species